UACGUAGGGGGCGAGCGUUUGUCCGAAGUUACUGGGCGUAAAGCGCGCGUAGGCGGUUCUUUAAGUCUGGUGUGAAAGGUUCAGGGCUCAACCCGAACAGUGCACUGGAUACUGGAGGACUUGAGUUAGGGAGAGGGUAGUGGAAUUCCUGGUGUAGCGGUGAAAUGCGUAGAUAUCAGGAGGAACACCGAUGGCGAAGGCAGCUACCUGGCCCUAUACUGACGCUGAGGUGCGAAAGCGUGGGGAGCGAACGGG
rnacentral:rRNA from 1 species